GAUCCUGGCUCAGGAUGAACGCUAGCGGCAGGCCUAACACAUGCAAGUCGAGGGGCAGCACGGUGUAGCAAUACACUGGUGGCGACCGGCGCACGGGUGCGUAACGCGUAUGCAACCUACCCAUAACAGGGGGAUAACACUGAGAAAUUGGUACUAAUACCCCAUAAUAUCAUAGAAGGCAUCUUUUAUGGUUGAAAAUUCCGAUGGUUAGAGAUGGGCAUGCGUUGUAUUAG
rnacentral:rRNA from 1 species